UGCGAUCGAUGCAAUCCUCCAAGCGGGGUAAUGGAAACGAAUCCGGCACAGUCACAGAGUUGAUUUUGCGGUAGUCUGUACACAAGCGGGACGUACCGUCUGGCUUGGGGACUAGUAUGCACGGAGAACUCCACGGGCUGUAGCUGGGUUUUGCCAUUCCAUUCUGCAACAAGUAAUCCACUUCACUCUUCAUUAUUUCUCUCUUAUGUGUGUUAACCCGAUACGGGUGCUGGCGAAUAGGUCGAGUGUUUCCAACGUCUACGUCGUGCUCCAAAACAGAGGUGCAGCUUGGUACUUCGCAGAAUACUUUGAGAAAGGAAUGUAUUAGUGCGUCCCCCUCAGGUAUGGGCACCACUAGUGCUGCGCUGGUGAAGGUGGGCAGAACUGGUCCUUGGGGAGACACGUCAGGAACGUCACGUUUACGGUAAGACUUGAGCAUGUUGAUAUGACACAGACGGGAGGAGCGUCUGCGGUCCGGGGUUUUAAUUAUAUAGUUAGUGUCACUUAUUUUUUUUUUCGACAAUAUAAGGCCCAGUAAACCUGGCCGAGAGAGACGAACCAGGUACGGGUAGGAGAACGAGUACCUGCUCCCCUGGCACAAAAGAGCGGUCCUUUGUCUUUCUGUCAUACUGCACCUUCAUGCGUUCCUGAGAGGUAGAGAGGGACUCUCUGGCCACUGAGCACGCGAUAUGCAGCCUCUCCCGCAUCUCACUAACAUAGUCCAGCACAUUUCGAGGGUAGCUACUGGACACUUCAGAUAACAAGUGCUCCUUCAGAACUUUCAUCGGACCUCGUGGCGUAUGACCGAAAACCAGAUCAGCGGGACUGAAUCCUAAUGAUUCCUGGAUGGUCUCUCUGACAGCGAACAGAACAAAGGGGACUCCCUCGUCCCAACUAGUAUUUGUCUCCACACAGUAUUUUCUUAGCAUCGUCUUCAAGGUCUGGUGCCAGCGCUCUAGAGCCCCCUGGCUCUCUGGAUGGUACGCGCUGGAGACCUGAUGUGUGAUAGACAGAUUCUUCAUUGUAGCAGCGAACAACUUGGACAUGAAGUUAGUACCUUGGUCAGUUUGGAUCACUUUCGGGAGUCCAAAUGUGGAGAAGAACUUCAUCAGGGCUUUAAUGAUGGUUUUGGUCGUUAUUGUUCGGAGGGGGAUGGCUUCUGGGUACCGUGUAGCACUGCACAUAAUAGUGAGAAGGUACUGGUUACCUGCUCGUGUCUUCGGUAGUGGGCCCACACAGUCCACUAUCACUCGGUCGAACGGUUCUCCAAUCACAGGAAUUGGAUGAAGUGGCACGGGAGGAACAGGUUGGUUCACCUUUCCUAUUAGUUGGCACACAUGACAGGUUCUGCAGUAUUUGACAACAUCAGAUUUUAAACCUGGCCAGAAAAAGUACCUGAGAAUUCGGUUGUAUGUUUUUGUUAUCCCUAGAUGUCCUGCCCAUCCAGGAUCAUGAGCCAACGACAGUAUUUGCGGUCGUAGCGGUGAAGGAACAACUACCUGCUGAACAACAUCCCAGUCCUCACCGGUUUUGUGUGCUGUCCAACUGCGCAUUAGAACUCCCUCCUUCACUGAAUAGGCAGCACUCUGCAGGCCUGUUUCUCCAGGGGCCUCUAUUGCAUCAAAACACUUCCUCAGACUGGUAUCCGCUUUCUGCCACUCAAUUAGCUUUUCCACUGCUAAGGAUGGGAGAACGUCCUGUAACUGACUGGCGCAGACAUCUUCCCUCAUUGUAGGCAGAGUGGCCUGUACCUCAGGCUUUGGUUCCUCACCCCUAACCUGCUCAAAGACCGAAUCCGACAAAUCCACCACCUCCCCUUCCCCCCUGGACUGUGCUCUUGUUAGGACACAAGCCGGGAAAACAUGUGGAAACUGUUUAACAAUAAACACAUCUGCAUCUUUUGUUUCAGGUGUUUCUAUUACCUCUAGGACCGGAGAUACCCUACCCCCAGCGAUGUCGUUACCCAGCAACAGAGUUACCCCCGCCACCGGUAACUUGGGCACGACGCCAACCCGGAAACGUCCUGAAAUGAGCUCUGACUUUAAGUGUAACCAGUGUAACGGUACACAGAUGGGGUUAGUUUCAAUCCCACACAGGAGAACAUUAGAUCCACAGUAAUUAAGGUCAGACCAGGGCAACGCGUCUUUACAGAUUACGGAUUGUGCUGCACCGGUGUCUCGUAAGAUUUUGACUAAAGUGUGGUCCUCUGGUUCUCCAGUGAUAGAAACACUCCCAACUGACACAAAUGGAGCAUACCUAGGAUCCGGCUCAGCUCCAACCAUCUUGUCCGCAGCAACAGCGUCUAGGCGAGGAGUAGACUGGAUAAGACCGACACUUUUCUUGCUGCGGGGUGGGGACUGAGAGGUCUUUGUUUUCAGAACCGCACAAUCUGAAAUCAAGUGGCCCACUUCAUGACAGUAAAAACACUCUCUUUUUUCUGUGAGUCUUCUGGCGGGGUCAAGUGAAGACCGGCGUGCCCAAGACGUCGAUGGGACGACAGUAUGAGAUCCACUAAACACAGUUUUGUGGGUCAGAGCAUAUUCGUCCGCCAUAACAGCGGCCUGGGUCAACUUCUCUACCUUCCGCUCAUUCAAGUACACCACUAGGGAAAGCGCUGCGACCACUUCCUGGCCCUUCCCAGACAGCUUGCACUGCAGGAGAAGAGGCCACACCUCCUUUGGCCAUUGCAGAGCGACGGCUACACGCUCAAAUGCUACGAAGUAGCGGUCUACUUCGGUCUCCCUAAACGGUGGAACCAUCGGAACGUUUUGGCUCACCUUAAAUGGAGGUGGCUCACGUGGCCCUGAGGUUCUGCCUGAAGACGUGCCAUCUGUUUACGCAGCUUGUCUACCUCCCCUACCUCAGAUCCACCUGCCACUGGGGAAAACGGAAGAAACUUUGGCAGCGUCCAAGGAGCUGGAGCCUCUUUACGCUCCCCACUGUCCACCGGCGGUGUGGGAGAGGAGACUCCUGCGGUCCUUUCCUCGGCACCCUCUACGGGAUCCUCCUCGUCCAGGGACAUGACGCCUGCCUCUUCUAGAUCCAAUAAAUAAUGCUUGAUUUGUUCUACAAUCUCAGCCUUUAAAGCUUGUUCACUGACACGUAGCUUGUAGUGCUCAGCUAUUUUUUUUAGCUCUUCCUUGCGCAUUCUCGUUAGGAGACCUAAAGUAGGGUUCUCCAAGAACGUUGCUAGGGUGAGGGUAGCCAUCUGUACACAAUAAAAAUUUGCACCUGAGUAACACCACCUAACUAACCAGUAUCCAGUCCAACUACACGAGUCUGCUUACACCACACCGUACAUGCCCCAAUUAUUGACCACAGAAAGAUCCUCUCAGCAGCAGCGGGCCAACAGACAUCCCGGACGAGCCCCCACUUGUUACGCCUGCUCCCUAGAAGGGAGGGGACUGCUGAUACGCCGCUGGUCAAGGACCAAGUGUGUCACCAACCGGGGCCUGUGGGGGUCGUGGUGUAAGCAGGACACAAACCGUUUUUACCGUGUAUUUGUUAUUUAUUUGUUUCUAUUUACACGGAUUACAGGGAGAAGGGCUGGACAAGACCAAAACAACCAAACAAACAAAAAAUACACAGGCUUAUUCCUAGGUGCUAGUGCUGUAGUUUUAGCACGCUAACCAAAAGAUACAGGAGGUGGUCUGCCCAGGUCUAAGCUAGUGUUUCUAGACAGAGACUCACUGCGGGUGAUGUAUGCCCAUGGGCCUCUAGUCUAGCCACAACGGCUCCCUUCCCCCUGGGACGAAAAGGAGAACAAAAAGAA